AAAACAUGUCUAUAUGAUUGAUAUAUAAAGUCUGGCCUGCCCACUGAUUGAAGUUAAAGGGCCGCGGUAUUCUGACCGUGCGAAGGUAGCAUAAUCAUUAGUCUUUUAAUUGAAGGCUUGUAUGAAUGGUUGGACAAAAAAUAAGCUGUCUCGGUUGUAGAAAUUGAAUUUAACUUUUAAGUGAAAAGGCUUAAAUAAACUAAGGGGACGAUAAGACCCUAUAAAGCUUUACAAUUAUUUAGUUAAAUUGCAGUUUGUAAGUAUAACGUGGUUUAAUUAAUGCUUGUUUCGUUGGGGUGACGAGAAUAUAAUUUGUAACUGUUCUUUUAUAAUUUGUUACAAUGAUUUUUGGCUGGUAAAUGAUCCUUUAUUAAAGAUUAAAAGAUUAAGUUACUUUAGGGAUAACAGCGUAAUCUUCUUUGAAAGUCCAUAUCGACAAGAAGGGUUGCGACCUCGAUGUUGAAUUAAGGUUUCUUUGUGGUGUAGUAGUUACAAGUAGAGGGUCUGUUCGACCUUUAAUUCCUUACAUGAUCUGAUC
rnacentral:rRNA from 1 species